GACGAACGCUGGCGGCGUGCUUAACACAUGCAAGUCGAACGAUGAAGCCCAGCUUGCUGGGUGGAAGAGUGGCGAACGGGUGAGUAACACGUGAGUAACCUGCCUAUCACUCUGGGAUAAGCGCUGGAAACGGCGUCUAAUACUGGAUACGACCUAUCACCGCAUGGUGUGUAGGUGGAAAGAUUUAUCGGUGGGAGAUGGAAUCGCGGCCUAUCAGCUGGUUGGUGAGGUAAUGGCUCACCAAGGCGACGACGGGUAGCCGGCCUGAGAGGGUGACGGGCCAGAGUGGGACGGAGACACGGCCCAGACUCCUACGGGGGGCAGCAGUGGGGAAUAUUGAACAAUGGGCGCAAGCCUGAUGCAGCAACGCCGCGUGAGGGACGACGGCCUUCGGGUUGUAAACCUCUUUUAGUAGGGAAGAAGCGAAAGUGACGGUACCUGCAGAAAAAGCACCGGCUAACUACGUGCCAGCCGCCGCUGUAAUAC
rnacentral:rRNA from 1 species